rnacentral:rRNA from 1 species
UACGUAGGGUGCAAGCGUUAAUCGGAAUUACUGGGCGUAAAGCGUGCGCAGGCGGUUUGGUAAGACAGAUGUGAAAUCCCCGGGCUUAACCUGGGAACUGCAUUUGUGACUGCCCGGCUAGAGUGUGUAAGAGGGGGGUAGAAUUCCAUGUGUAGCAGUGAAAUGCGUAGAUAUGUGGAGGAAUACCGAUGGCGAAGGCAGCCCCCUGGGAUAACACUGACGCUCAUGCACGAAAGCGUGGGGAGCAAACAGG